rnacentral:rRNA from 1 species
UAAGACAGAGGCCACAAGCGUUAGGCGGAAUCACUGGGCUUAAAGCGCGUGUAGGUGGGCCAGCAAGUACCUUGUGAAAUCCCAUAGCUCAACUAUGGAACUGCUUGGUAUACUGCUGGUCUUGAGCCAUCUAGGGGCUACUGGAACAAACGGUGGAGCGGUGAAAUGCGUAGAUAUCGUUUGGAACGCCAAUGGUGAAAACAGGUAGCUGGGGAUGUGCUGACACUGAGACGCGAAAGCCAGGGGAGCAAACGGGAUUAGAUACCCCGGUAGUCCUGGCCCUAAACGAUGUCCACUAGAUCGUAGUCGCUCUGACGUGAUUAUGGUCGAAGCAAAAGUGCUAAGUGGACCGCCUGGGAAGUACGGUCGCAAGGCUA